rnacentral:tRNA from 1 species
GCGAGGUAGCUCAGGUGGUUAGAGCGUCGGAUUCAUAACCCGGAGGUCGGGAGUUCGAGUCUCCCCCUCGC